GAGGGACAGAUCCUCCCUGCAUCCAAAGGCCUCCUCAGUCUGCAGUUCCAGCUCCAGCCCCUCACAGUGCUUUUCAAGCCAUGCUUCCUGUGCCCCCAGUGGGGCCCUGGCUGGGAUAUCAUCAUAUACUGUAAGUUUGCGAUGAGACACUACAGUAUAGAUGAUGUACUAGUCCGGGCACCCCCAGCUCUGGAGCCUGACAAGGAGGACAGGAGAGAUGCUGCAAGCCCAAGAAGCUCUCUGCUCAGCCUGUCACAACCUACUGACUGCCAGGGCACUUGGGAAUGGCAAGGAAACCGUUACCAUUACUGAGUUUAGUAAUGGUAAUGGUUCUCUUGCUAUACCCAGAAAACGUGCCAGGAAGAGAACUCAGGACCCUGAAGCAGACUACUGGAAGGGAGACUCCAGCUCAAACAAGGCAGGGGUGGGGGCGUGGGAUUGGGGGUAGGGGAGGGAAUAGAUACAUUUUCUCUUUCCUGUUGUAAAGAAAUAAAGAUAAGCCAGGCA